UUUAAAAUUACCCAGGGAUCUGGGUAAAAUGCAGAUUCUGACUCAGGAGGUCUGGGGUGGGGCCUGAGGGUCUGCAUUUCUGACAAGCUCCCAGGUGAUGCUUAU
rnacentral:pre_miRNA from 1 species